UACGUAGGUGACAAGCGUUGUCCGGAUUUACUGGGCGUAAAGAGCGCGCAGGCGGUCGUUCAAGUCGAGUGUGAAAGCCCCCGGCUCAACUGGGGAGGGUCAUUCGAUACUGAUCGACUCGAAGGCAGGAGAGGGUAGUGGAAUUCCCGGUGUAGUGGUGAUAUGCGUAGAUAUCGGGAGGAACACCUGUGGCGAAGGCGGCUUUCUGGGCCUUACCUGACGCUGAGACGCGAAAGCGUGGGGAGCGAACCGG
rnacentral:rRNA from 1 species